GACGAACGCUGGCGGCGUGCCUAACACAUGCAAGUCGAACGGGGUGAUUUCCUUCGGGAGAUCACUUAGUGGCGAACGGGUGAGUAACGCGUGAGGAACCUGCCUCUCAGUGGGGGACAACAGUUGGAAACGACUGCUAAUACCGCAUAAUAUGUACGGAUCGCAUGGUCUGUACAUCAAAGAUUUAUUGCUGAGAGAUGGCCUCGCGUCUGAUUAGCUAGAUGGCGGGGUAACGGGCCCACCAUGGCGACGAUCAGUAGCCGGUCUGAGAGGAUGAACGGCCACAUUGGGACUGAGAUACGGCCCAGACUCCUACGGGAGGCAGCAGUGGGGGAAUAUUGGGCAAUGGGGGAAACCCUGACCCAGCAACGCCGCGUGAAGGAAGAAGGCCUUC
rnacentral:rRNA from 1 species